rnacentral:rRNA from 1 species
GACGAACGCUGGCGGCGUGCUUAACACAUGCAAGUCGAACGGAAAGGCCCUGCUUUUGUGGGGUGCUCGAGUGGCGAACGGGUGAGUAACACGUGAGUAACCUGCCCUUGACUUUGGGAUAACUUCAGGAAACUGGGGCUAAUACCGGAUAGGAGCUCCUGCUGCAUGGUGGGGGUUGGAAAGUUUCGGCGGUUGGGGAUGGACUCGCGGCUUAUCAGCUUGUUGGUGGGGUAGUGGCUUACCAAGGCUUUGACGGGUAGCCGGCCUGAGAGGGUGACCGGCCACAUUGGGACUGAGAUACGGCCCAGACUCCUACGGGAGGCGGCAGUGGGGAAUAUUGCACAAUGGGCGGAAGCCUGAUGCAGCAACGCCGCGUGCGGGAUGACGGCCUUCGGGUUGUAAACCGCUUUCGCCUGUGACGAAGCGUGAGUGACGGUAAUGGGUAAAGAAGCACCGGCUAACUACGUGCCAGCAGCCGCGGUGAUACGUAGGGUGCGAGCGUUGUCCGGAUUUAUUGGGCGUAAAGGGCUCGUAGGUGGUUGAUCGCGUCGGAAGUGUAAUCUUGGGGCUUAACCCUGAGCGUGCUUUCGAUACGGGUUGACUUGAGGAAGGUAGGGGAGAAUGGAAUUCCUGGUGGAGCGGUGGAAUGCGCAGAUAUCAGGAGGAACACCAGUGGCGAAGGCGGUUCUCUGGGCCUUUCCUGACGCUGAGGAGCGAAAGCGUGGGGAGCGAACAGGCUUAGAUACCCUGGUAGUCCACGCUGUAAACGGUGGGUACUAGGUGUGGGGUCCAUUCCACGGGUUCCGUGCCGUAGCUAACGCUUUAAGUACCCCGCCUGGGGAGUACGGCCGCAAGGCUAAAACUCAAAGGAAUUGACGGGGCCCCGCACAAGCGGCGGAGCAUGCGGAUUAAUUCGAUGCAACGCGUAGAACCUUACCUGGGUUUGACAUGGAUCGGGAGUGCUCAGAGAUGGGUGUGCCUCUUUUGGGGUCGGUUCACAGGUGGUGCAUGGCUGUCGUCAGCUCGUGUCGUGAGAUGUUGGGUUAAGUCCCGCAACGAGCGCAACCCUUGUUCACUGUUGCCAGCACGUUAUGGUGGGGACUCAGUGGAGACCGCCGGGGUCAACUCGGAGGAAGGUGGGGAUGACGUCAAGUCAUCAUGCCCCUUAUGUCCAGGGCUUCACGCAUGCUACAAUGGCUGGUACAGAGAGUGGCGAGCCUGUGAGGGUGAGCGAAUCUCGGAAAGCCGGUCUCAGUUCGGAUUGGGGUCUGCAACUCGACCUCAUGAAGUCGGAGUCGCUAGUAAUCGCAGAUCAGCAACGCUGCGGUGAAAACGUUCCCGGGGCU